ACUUUGGAUUUUUUUUUCCUUUAUUUUUUUUUAAAUAGCAGACUUUGUGAUAUACAGUAUAUAUCUUUUGUGUGCAUGUCAACAAAUGAUGCAGGACAAACACCUUUAAGAUUAUAUGACCAUUCGGCAGCCUAAGCAGGAACAGACAAGGCAUCUGCAGAGGCCCACAGCGUAGGCAGUGUGAACACGGACGAAUCA